GACGAACGCUGGCGGCGUGCUUAACACAUGCAAGUCGAACGGCGUGGCGCACGGGUGAGUAACACGUGGGUGAUCUGCCUUGCACUUCGGGGUAAGCUUGGGAAACUGGGUCUCAUACCGGCUAGUGCAAGAUGAGUUCGCGGCCUAUAAGCUUGUUGGUGGGGUAAUGGCCUCCGAAGACGUCGACGGGUAGCCGGCCUGAGAGGGGGUACGGCGACAUGGGGACUGAGAUACGGCGCAGUGGCCUACAGGAGGCAGCAGUGGGGAAUAUGGCACAAUGGGCGGAAGCCUGAUGCAGCGACGCCGCGGUGGGGAUGAAGGCCUUCGGGUUGGAAACUCCUUGCGACAGGGACGCGGUACCUGCAGAAGAAGCACCGGCUAACUACGUGCCAGCAGCCGCGGUAAUAC
rnacentral:rRNA from 1 species